rnacentral:lncRNA from 1 species
ACCGUGAAAAUAGAUAGGUAGAUGGAAUCUCAUUUAAAUUAUGAACUUUCCUUCAUUGAAUGACAACAUUAAGACAGAGAAAAGACAAGCCUCAUUGAGAGAAAAAGUUUGUAAUACAUACAUACAACAAACAAUUUGGAUCAGGAGUUCCUUACAAGUCAAUAGUAACAAUUCAUAAACUAAGAGAAAAAUGGAGAAAAGGAUUCAGCAGACACUCCAUAAAGGAGAUAAUUGGAAGUUGUGAGACAAAAAUCAUGUCAG